UUCUUAGAGAGCAAACCGUGAGAGAGAAGGGAGGAAGAAGAAGAAGAAGAAGAAGAGAAAAGAGGGGAAAAUAAGGAAAAAAGGAAGAGAUUAGGAGAAAACAAGUUUAAAGAUAAUCCUGAUAUUCUACCAGUGGGUCAUCAAUAGGAUUUCCUUCGGUAUCUGCUUUUGAGUGUUAUUUGUUUUCGAGUCAGGUGAGUGGAUAAUUUUCCAUAUGUAUGAGAAAUAUUAUAAAUAUUUAAUUUGUUAAUAUGAAUUGGAUCAUGCUUCUUGAUAAUAUAUAUGUUGAUUAUUAUCCUUGUUAUGAUAAAGCAUCAUCAAUUGUUGAAUAUGAAUUCUUGAUAUGAACCAGUAUAUAUUUUGAAUUGACUUCUGAAUUGAUAGCUCCUCAUUUGAUUGAUGUCAUGAGUUGAGUCUUGAGAUAUGAAUAUGUCUAUUUGAUUAUGAUUAUGAACAUAUGGUAUGUCAGUCAGAAUACUCAUGCUAACAGGGUAGUGUUAGUCUUUGUGCACAUUGUAUCUGAACCCUAGUUGGUCGGGGGAGUCACCAACCUGUGUGGACUAAUCAUCCCAUAGUACGGAGUCUCAUGUUCAUUGCAUUUUGAUUUUCUAACGAGUUUUACCAUAUGAUAUUCUUGUUAUGGCCUAUUUGAGAAACCUUCCUAUAAGAACCUAGAGUCAUACUUAUAUAUAUAUUUCUCAUUGUAGUAUUACUCACUGAGUUGUUGAACUCAUCCUCUCAUUAUUUAUCUUUUUCAGGCUUAUAGCUUGAUAACAUGUCACUUUUGUUUGACCUUCAGAACCUGCUCUUUUGGUUGUAAUUUGUACCUUUUCCUUUAUGUCUAGUUAGUGCUCCGAAACUAUAAAUUUAUAUAAACUCUUGUAUUAUGACAAUUCAAUUAUAUUAUGAAGUUAGUUUGUUGUUAUUGCUGCGUUGAACUCUGAUUGACUUAUUUGAAGGAUAAGUAUGUAUGUAUGUAAGUUUGGGUUCGUAUAAGUAUGGAACCUUGAAGGGGAACCUUGGAGGGGAACCUUGCCUAUGUGUCGGACAUUGAUCCAGGAAUCGGGUCGUGACAGAAUUCAUCUUUGUUGAAAUUGUUCAAAUCAAAAUCCCCAUAUUAUAAGAGCGAAAUAAGUAAGGGAAACAUAAAACAAUAUAUACAAUCAAGGACAAUAAUCAAGCAAGAAUGACGAUCAUAUAUAUAUAUAUAUAUAGUAAUUAUGUUGUUAUGUGUACCCAAACUCAAGUUUAGUCCAAACCCAAGAACCUAACCUAACCCAUAUAUUUAAAGAGAAUUUUGCCAAAGAAUUGAUUUACCCUUCUCUUCUUUUCUUUUCAUCUAACGUGAAUUUUCUUUCGAUACCAAGGAAUUCAGUUCUAAGCUUAAUUUUUUGUUUAAAAAAGUGUUGAAGAAACAAAUAGGUAUUUUCCUCUUUCGUUAAUUUUCUAUUAGGGAUUUGAUGGUUGAAAAAUUUAAGAAGAGUUUGGAGUUUUUAUUAUGAUUUGAUAGUUGUAUGAUUUAACAUAUUUAAUAAAUAUUUUAGGGUGUUAGUUGGCUUAAAACGAAUUGAUGACUAGAAUUAUGGAUCUUGAAGAACAAAUUGAUUGUUUUUUAGAUUUACAGAUUUGAAGAGUGGUAAAUCGAGAUUCUAGAAAUCCUGAUUAACCGGUCAACUAAUUGGUCUAGACUAGCUGACUAGUUAAUUUGAUGAUGCCAGUUGACCAGUUGGCUUUUAAUGGCAGUCAACUAGUUGGUCAUUUCGGUCGACUAGUUGAUCCAAUAGUUGGGGUUAAUCAGGUUUGUUAAGUUUAAUUAAUUUUAGAUAUGUUCGAGAUCGAUUAGAUAAAUCAGUAUGAUUUUAUAAUUAUAUUUUAGAUUUUAAGUUUAGAGUUUCAAUCUUUUAUAUUAAUUCCUUCAAAUCGUGUUUUAGUGUUUUUUAUUAUCUGGUAUAGGUUAUGUUGGCAUUUCUACUAAGAGAUCCUUGGCAGUUUCCUCCGUUUUUCGCUGACAGCUUGAAACUAUCAGCGUAUUAGUAACAAUAGAGACACUCGUCUUUUACAUUUUUUCAAUGCAUGAUUGACAUGUUCCAAGUGUUUCAUUGAAUGUGUGUAAUUGUUGUUACUGAUUUGUUUAAAUAUUCAAUAUUCGAUGUCUGCUUUCGGACGUGUUGGUAACUCUUGUUGCUUCACGGAGAUUUUUAUCGCAUCAGGUAAACUUGUGCACCGUUUCCCUUCUGUUGUUAUGUUUGGUGCUAUGCAGUUAGGUGCGAGGCUGUGCUAGCUAAUAUGAUUGGUGCCCAUGGCUCUCCUGGCAAGGUUCCAUAACUCUCUGAGGUUAAUUGUAGCAAACUAUUUCUAAACACUACUUGUUGCAACCCUCUGAAAUUUAUUUUGUGGCUUAUGAACUAUUUUAACAAACACUAGACCUCCUAAAAUUUGACCAACCGUUAAUGGACAGAACUCUUUGAUAACCAGAACACUAGACCUUCUAAAAUUUGACCAACCGUUCCUUACCCUUGCUUGAGAAAUAUUGUUAUCUUGCUCGGAUAACUGCGUUGUGUAAAAUGUAUAUUAGCAUGCAUUAUAUUUAUUA